GCUGAACGUUACCGCUGCAGGCUGGCAUGUUCCAGUGCUCGACCGCCGAUAGCCAAGCCAUGGCGACGGCUUUCCCUGCACCUACACUCUCAGCGUCGACGAUCUGGGUUCAUGCUAAGUAACAAAUCCCCAUCAUAUUUGGAGUCAAACGAGCGUGAAUGGAAAGUGGAUGAAUCCAGACGAUACACGGACGAACGAAGCAAGAAGCAACAGAUGAUCAGUGCCAUAAGGAUGGCACUGGGGUCAUUGGGUGAUGAUGAGACGUCAAUGAAUGUUUCAGCCUACGACACGGCAUUGGUCUCCCUUGUGCAGAACAUUGACGGGAAUGAUAAACCGCAAUUCCCCUCAUGUAUCGACUGGAUUAUACAAAAUCAACUACCAGAUGGUUCGUGGGGCGACCCUGAUUACUUUAUGGUCCAAGAUCGGAUGAUCAACACCCUGGCUUGUGUAGUAGCAGUGAAGUCUUGGAAUAUUGACAGUGACGACUUGUGUGACAGAGGUGUGUUAUUUAUCCAAGAAAAUAUGAGCAGGUUGGUAGAAGAGGAACAAGACUGGAUGCCAUGUGGCUUCGAGAUUAACUUCCCAGCAAUCCUAGAGAAGGCAAAGGACCUGGAUUUGGACAUCCCUUAUAAUCACCCUGUUCUUGAAGAGAUAUAUGCCAAGAGAAAUCUAAAGCUCUCUAAGUAUGAUACCUCUGGAUGUGCUACACGCCAUACCAACGACCCUACUUUACAGCAUGGAAGGAAUGGUAGACUUGCAGUUGGAUUGGGAAAAGCUACUCAAGUUGCGGUGUCUGGACGGCUCCUUCCAUUCCUCGCCUGCUGCAACAGCUGCUGCCCUCAG
rnacentral:rRNA from 1 species